rnacentral:rRNA from 1 species
AGUGAACGCUGGCGGUAGGCCUAACACAUGCAAGUCGAACGGCAGCACAGUAAGAGCUUGCUCUUACGGGUGGCGAGUGGCGGACGGGUGAGGAAUACAUCGGAAUCUACUUUUUCGUGGGGGAUAACGUAGGGAAACUUACGCUAAUACCGCAUACGACCUACGGGUGAAAGCAGGGGAUCUUCGGACCUUGCGCGAUUGAAUGAGCCGAUGUCGGAUUAGCUAGUUGGCGGGGUAAAGGCCCACCAAGGCGACGAUCCGUAGCUGGUCUGAGAGGAUGAUCAGCCACAUUGGAACUGAGACACGGUCCAGACUCCUACGGGAGGCAGCAGUGGGGAAUAUUGGACAAUGGGCGCAAGCUUGCUCCAGCCAGACCGCGUGGGUGAAGAAGGCCUUCGGGUUUUAAAGCCCUUUUGUUGGGAAAGAAAAGCAGCAGGUUAAUACCCCGCUGUUCUGACGGUACCCAAAGAAUAAGCACCGGCUAACUUCGUG